AAAAAUAAGCUACUUCUUUCAAAAGUAGAAGGUGUUUUUAAGGGAAAAGGAGAAGCUGGUAUCCCCCUCCUUCUCCUUAAAAGCCAGCGCGUUUUUCUUUCGGGGGAGUUAAUGAAUUUUUUGUAAUGACGUUGGGUACCCUUGUGAAUCUUGACAAAUUACACGGUUCAACCAUCACAUAAAAACUUGAGUAUAGACUUGCGCCUCCAUUCUCCUUCGAUCUGAGAAAUACACUGCGCCUUCACUGUUGCGCCUUCACUGCUGCACCUUCGCCUCCAUUCUCCUCCGUCGCUGUUGCGCCUUCGCCUCCGUCGCUGUUGCGCCUUCGCCUCCAUCGCCUUCGCCUCCGUCGCUGCUGCGCCUUCGCCUCCAUCGCUGCGGAUCGUUUUGCAUCUGUUGGGACCUUUGCGUGGGUUUGCGUUGCCUUUGCUGCGCCUCCAUCGUUUUGCUGCUUCUCUUGGAGGUCUGCUUCUCGUUUUGCUGCGUCUCUUGGAGGUCUGCUGCCUAGCGAAUCUGAGAAACGAUUUGGGUUCAAAGGUAAACAAUUUCAUUUCUCCCUCUUGUUCAUCUCUAAGCUUGGAAUUUAGCAAUAUUUGUAUGCCUUCUUGUAUCAUUUUUCUGGGUUUUGCCAAGUAAAUAUGUUCAAAAUUUAGACUUGGGAGUUUUGCGUAAACAUAAGCUUAUAGUUCUAAGUUGACAUUGUGAUACAAAUGGGUAAAUGAUUAGGAUUAGAGCAUUUGAUUUUUGCUGUUGGUUAGGGUUGAGUAUAAGCUUAUGUUUUUGGCUGUGGCCUGUGGCAGGGUUUAGUAGAAUUUAAUUAUGUGCUUGUGGAUGUGGGUAUUGCUUAUUUAUACAUGAUACAGAAUACAAAGGAAGGUUUAUAUGGGACAAGGUACAGGUGGGUAAUAGGGACUAGAGAAGUUAGUGAUUUGUAUCAAUAAGCUAGGUUGUGAAGAUUCAUAUCAGUAUUAGAUGCAAAAGAGGAGUCUUGUGAAAGAAGAACAUAAAAUGAUCAUUGCAGAACCUUCAUCUGAAACUAAGCUCAUACAAUCAUAAAGAGAUGCAAUAAGAAGAAACUACUAAUUGUGCAAUUAUGUUAACGAAUUAAUCAGCAGAUCAAAUUUAUGACAUAGACACAUGCGUGUUUUCCCCUGUUAAUGACUGAAGUGGCAAAAAUGCCUUAGUUUCUACAUUAUCCACACCAUCGUUCCGUUUCACUGUAAAAUCUUGCUAAUUGGAAGUAACCUAGUCUAAUAUAUAGCUAUCUUUGCAUUCCCUGUGUGAUGAGUGUUCAUGAGAUUGAAGUUUACAAUUAGGAAAUUUUAAUCAACCUUCAGAAAGUAUCCAAUUAGGAUUUUGUAUACUUUCUUAUGUGGUUUCUUAUGUUUUCUCUGCAAUAUACUCAAUAUCAUUUUUACAAUCGACUACCUUCAUUGAAGUUGAUAUAUAUAAUACCAUCACCCUUGAGAAUAUGGAACCAUAUCUAAUAACACUACACUUGAACAUGUAUGAACCGUAUGUACACUACACUUGAACAUUUAUAAACCAUUCAUUGAAAUUCAUGCAUCAGUAUAUAGUGGUACUCAUUCCUUGCAACUUUUGUAAUGAAGUACCCAAUCUCCUAGAUUAAACUGAAAACAACACAUUAAUGAUUCUGGAAAUCAGAAAAUUACCUUGUAUAUAUUUGGAGCUUGCCAAUUGGGAUUCAUACCGGAAUUUAGUCUGCAUACUGCAGGAACACCAGUAUAAUAUGCUGCCUUUGCUUAAUUGCUUAUAUUCCAAUGAAGCUUUAUCAGGAUGAGAGGAAAAUGCAUUGUUUUAGUAGCUAUGAAAGCUAGUGAUCAUUGAGCAACAAGCCAAAUGCAUUCCAAAUGCAUUUUGUAUGUGAAAACAGACAAAAUAAUAAAAAGUUAAAGUAAAAACUAGACCAUGUAUGCGAGAGUUUUACGGGGUGUAGAUCAACUAGAUGAAGUAAUGGCUUUAGCUUGUGUUUGGUGCUGUAUGCCAGAAGGUUUAGGCUCCAGGGAUUAGUCUUGCCAGCACCUGCAAAUGUAUUCAUGUAUUGCUUAUAAAAGUAUGAUACAAUUUGAUACAGCUAGUGUGUGUGUGUGUAUAUAUAUUUUGAUCGGAUGGACUUUGACGCCAAAAAAAAAAUAGAGAAGAAGAAGGAACAGCUACUAAUAAGCUAGAGCUAGCAUGAUAAUGUACAUAAUUAGACGAAACGAGCGAGAGACUGGUCUGGUACUUUAAACUGUAAAUGACACAGUUAGUAGCAGUAGGUAAGUAGGAAAGCAGGGAGUGGUGGAUUCAAAAUGAAUGAUUCAUAAAAUAAAGUAAAACGGUAGGUGUAGACCAAAUUUUACAGUUAGUUGUCAUGUUUAGUAUAUAACUAUAAUAUAUGCACCUGAUUAAUAAACAAAGUCAGCAUGUUAUAUAUCAUUUUGCUACGUAGUAAGUAGUACACAAAUACAAGUUGGGGAUAUCACUACAUAAUGGCAUGGCUAGCUAGGAUUGAAUUAUUGGCUAGCUAGGACCAUUAAUAUGGAUCGAUCAUAAAUAUAGUAGUGAUAGCUAAGCAAAAAAAAUCUGUGGCCAUAUGAAUUGGGGGGUUUUGGACAGAGACGUAGUGAUGGUGCAGCACCUGCAAAUGUUGGUGUUUUAGUAGAAGAAACCAAAGAUGAUAAAAAGGUCGUUGCUUGGUCUCUUAGAUAUGAUAUGAUUUGACCUCCAUUUGCAUGCAUUAGAAUUGGAUUAGUGCUUGGUAGGUUAUUUGGUCCCUGCUUGGUAUGUUUGUUUGGNNNNNNNNNNNNNNNNNNNNNNNNNNNNNNNNNNNNNNNNNNNNNNNNNNNNNNNNNNNNNNNNNNNNNNNNNNNNNNNNNNNNNNNNNNNNNNNNNNNNNNNNNNNNNNNNNNNNNNNNNNNNNNNNNNNNNNNNNNNNNNNNNNNNNNNNNNNNNNNNNNNNNNNNNNNNNNNNNNNNNNNNNNNNNNNNNNNNNNNNNNNNNNNNNNNNNNNNNNNNNNNNNNNNNNNNNNNNNNNNNNNNNNNNNNNNNNNNNNNNNNNNNNNNNNNNNNNNNNNNNNNNNNNNNNNNNNNNNNNNNNNNNNNNNNNNNNNNNNNNNNNNNNNNNNNNNNNNNNNNNNNNNNNNNNNNNNNNNNNNNNNNNNNNNNNCUUUUGUUUACUACUUUAUGUUACUUUAAGACAUGGUUUGCAGGUUAUUAAUGUUAUUAUCGGUAAUGUUUUAAUGUGUUAAAAUAUUUUUGUUGAUACUUCAUGUCAAAUUAUUCAAUUUUAUCAUAUAAUCAUCAUGGUUAAUAAAAACAGUUAGUAAAUAUUGAUUUAUAUGGACAAAGUUAAACAAACCAUAGAUAAAUUAUAGUAUAUGAAGUUAUUUAUAGUUUCAUGUCUAAAAUGGUCAUUCUACAAAUUAGAAGCACUUUUAGCCGGAGAGUUUACCAAACACCUUCCACUGCUUUUAACACUAACAGCACAUAUUAAAAGUCAGUUUACCAAACACUCAGACAUACUUUGCUUUUCAGUCACUUAUUCUCAGGAUAGCUUAUAAGCCAGCUUUUCUUAUAAGCCCAGCUGCACCAAACACACCCGAUAUCAUUACCUCUCAUCAGCCAAGCUACACAAGAAUUGUUCAACGACACCAUUCCCCUUCCCCUUUGAUAAGGCAGAUUAAGCUUAGGUGGAAGCCUUUCUACCCUUUUCCAUCUGCGGGAAGCUACACUGUAAACGUGUAAAGGCUAGUUUGGUAUUGCUGUGACUUAAAAAUCAAAAAAUGUUGUUACUGUAUUACGAAAAUAAUCAGUUGUGAAUUAAAACAGUUUUGUGUUUAGUAAAUAUUAGUUUUAAAAAUGCUGUCAAGAUAAAAUUUAUUAAUCUCUAGUGUUUUUAGUGACAGCUGCUUUUAAAAAUAACUUUCAGGUUGUUUUUUUGCUUUUAAAAGCUGCUGCCAGUGACCUGUAAUUUUCUAUAAAAAAAAAAACCGUUCCUUUCAUUUACCAAACACUAUAAAAUCUGAAAGUUAAGAGAGAAAUUGGUUUUUUUUUUAAAACAAAGCUAUACCAAACUAGACCUAAUUCGCUAGAGUUAACACCUUCGGGCAUCUCCAACACCUUACCCAAAACUCAUACUUAAACUCAUUUUUUGACUUAUCUAAACCUAUUACUAUUCAAACAUAUAUUUCAUCUCCAACUAUUAUAUCAAAACUCAUACCCAUACCUAAAUUAUAAUUAUUUCAUAUAAUUAUUUAAGGACAAAUAAAUUAUACAUGAAUUUGUCUUUUUAGGAAUGAAUUGAUCUGCACCUUUGAUUUUAAAUAAAACAAGAGAUCUCAGCCAUCUGUUUUAUUACCCAUUUGGAGGAGGACCCACGCUGCCAAACAAGUUGAACGCGUGCAAAGCGCGUUUGAUGAUUCCAUCCCAUUAUUUUGUCUUGUAGGGCGUGUAUUCCACAACUCCAGGUGAUGGCGCGUUCUCUCAGUAUCUUCAAGCACCUUCACGUGCCUCCUCUUCCGCAUGGGUCCCGCGCCAACCCAAAUGGGUUUCCUACUUCACAGUCGAUCCAAAAUGGGUCGCUUUUUUAGUCGGAACCCAUAUUUGAGUAUAGGUUUUGAUGGUUGGAGAUCAAAAUCUUUGGGUUUUGAUUAUAAGUAUGGGUUUGGAGGGUAUUGUUGGAGAUGCCCUUAAAGUCAUCUUCCUUGCAAUGAUAACCUACCCAUGAAUCUGAAAAGUGUUGUUGGCGGCCUCGAAAGGUAUGAUCUCUAUGUGUCUUGCUAUCGUUGGAUUCCACAAAAAGAGGGUGCCCUCACCCUCAUACGGAUCAUCUGGUUCUUGUGUGCAAAGUUCAAGUAAUAUCAAUCCGUUGCAGAAGCCAAGCAUAUCAGAAAAAAUAGGAGUUCGAGAGGCGAUUAUUUGUAAUUCAGUCUUUUAGCUUCAAAAAAAAGAGAAAAAGAAAAAGGAGGAGUCCACUCUUGUCUUCAAGUUGAUAAAAUGGAUGCUCUAUUCGUUGUUCUGCGUCAUUUAAUCUACCCGCAAGGGAGGGCCACGAAUAUAACUGACCAUAGAUGGAAUUGAUUGAGCGUUGGUGAUGCUCUUUGAUGAAGUCUUUGCUGCGAAUAAAGCGAUUCCACAGUUUUGAAACCGAUGAAUAUCGGAGUAGAUCCUUGGCUGGAAGCCCUAAUAUGAAAGUUAAAAGGGUGCUUUUAAUAAAAUUAAAAAAAAAUUAACUAAGAUGAUGAUCGAUUUAAAAUUGAUAAGGAUAAAUUAAAAUUAACCCUUGUAAAAAUGAAUCGAAGGUCCUAAUUAAAACUGUAGUUUUCUACGUUGAUGUAAUAAUACGCCAACUACUAUUUGAUAUGGAGAUAGAGUGAAAUCACUCGAAUCAGAAUCUCCAAUCCUCUGAAGUUGUCUACAUUGAUGUAGUAUUACACCAACUACUAGUUUGAUAUGGAAAUAGUGUAAUCAGAUUCACCAACUGGUAAUUAGAUUUUGGAUCUGUAAAGUACUAAAGUAUGAGAUGUCAGUAGAACAAUUUGAGGAGCAAACCAGUUAUGCUUCAAGCGGAGAUAAAAUAUAAAUCAACAGGCGUACAAGCAGACAAGGAAAACUAGCUCAAUUGUUUUUUACGAGAACACAAAGAAAAUAGAUCUUGUGCCUGGCCAAGUUGUAGUAAAAACCUAACUCGAAGUAGUAGCAGGUAAUGCAAAUUUGCACUUCCUCCCGCCCGCCUAUGCCUUGCUGUCCACGCUCAUGGGUUCAGCAUCCUUCUGCGAAAGCCAAAAAAAUGAACCACCAAUCAAUCCCUAGAAUGAAACAGAGCAAGAAUGAACACAUUACCAACUUUACUAAAUUGAUGCUUACAUCGGAAUCCUUGGUCAGUUUGGCGAACAUGUUACCAUAAAACUUUGCCUCCUUCUUGUUGAAUUCUUUCAUCUUCUCCUUCAAAGUUUUGUACUCCAGCUUCACAUCCCUGUUUCAACAUUAAACCCAUGCAUCAAUACUUUUUACUUCCAGGUGCAAUUGAUUUCUGUAAGAGCAGCGGUGUUGCAAAGGAGCAUGUACCUGUUGUUAGGGUCAAUUUCAAGAGCUUUCUUGAUGUCAAGCUCAGCCAAAUCCAGAUCUGCCAGCUGGAUAUAUGCCUGAGCUCUUCUGUACAGAGCCUUCACAUUCCUACCCUCAAGCUCCAAAACCUGUCAAAGGUGUCCCCAUUCGUAAUUGAAAAAAAAAACCAACAAAAAGGAAGGACCUCAAGAGGUUUCUCAAGUAACGAUUGCUGACCUUGGUACACAGCUUUUCAGCCUGCUUGUACUCUUUCAGCUUCAAUUUGGAAGCGGCAUCAUUGAGAUUGCAAGCAACCUUCAACGCCUUAGCCUGUUUUUUCUCCUCUUCAGCAAAAGCUGUAUCAUAUUCAAUGUAUUUCACAGCCUGCAAGGAAGAAGGUUAAGUCUAAGAACAUAGGUCAAGAUAUCAGGUUCAAUAACCAAUAUGGCAGUCAUGGUACCUUCUCAUAUCUUUUGGAAGCUUUUGCAUAUUUACCAGCCUUGAAGAAAGCAUUCCCUUCUUCCUUUUUCUUGCCAGCAGCCUCGAUUUUCUCCGGAGUAUUCAUGUCCCAUGAUUCCUUGUCCUGGGGUAAAGAGGAUAAACAAAAUCAUUAGAAUGAAGGAGACUGGGAGGGUUUGAAACAAAUAUGCCAUGACAAGCUGCACUAUUUACCCACCUUGACAAAAGAUACAAGCUCAAUCUCAUAAUAAAGAGUUGAAUUAGGAGGCACCACUGCCAACUCCUGCUUGGACUCUGACACGCCAAAUGCAUACUCAGGGGCUAUAAUCACAAGAGCUAUCUCACCCUUCUUCAUUGUGACUACAGCUUUAUCAAGCCCCUCAAUGACUUGCUCUGUCCAAUAAAAUCAAAUCUCAGCAACAGUAGAGACAAAAUGACCAUGAGACAGAAGGGAAUAAAAAAAACAGAAGUAAAAAAAAAAUGAAAAUAAAAGCAUGAAAAUAAAAUUCAGAAUUCUUAUUACCCUCAUCUGUCUUAAAUUCAAAUGGUUCUUCUCCUUCACCAUGACCUUUCUUCAAAAAUACCGUACCAUCUUGCAACUUUCCAAUCAAUUUCACUGCCAGGCACAAAAACUAAAUGAUCAGAUAACUGUUUGAGCUGGUAAACAUGAAGGGAUUUCUAGUGCAAUGAGUAAACAGCUACCUGUAACAACAGCCCCUUCAUUUGGACGCUCAUACCCUUCUCCUUCUUUUAGGAUCUUCUUAAUAACUUUCUUGUCAUCUGUCAGUUCUGAGACUGUUCUCCAUGAUACCAACUCUAGAGUAAUAUGAAGAGUUGCAUUUGGAGGAACAGCACCCUCAUCACCAGAUGCAGCUUUACCCUUGUCCCCAAAUCCAUCUGGAACAUAAAGCAGGUAAGAAUACAUGAGAAAUCAAUUUAAUUUUCAAUUCUAAUUUUUUUAAUAACUCAGCAGGUUGUACGCAACAUACAUUGUGGUUUCACCGCUAACAAUACUUUCUCCCCCUUCUUCAUGGUUUUAACAGCCUUGGACAAUGCAGGACAGAAGUAACCUGCUCACAAUACUCAAAAGAUUAUAGAUCAUGAACAGAUUAAUAAAAAACAAGUGAAUACAACAUGAGAAGAACCAGUACCCUCUUUGACAGUAAAUUCCACGGUGUCAGAUUUUGCUAUUAAUGUUUUAUCUUCAAGAUAGGCCUCAAAUUUAACUGCAUAAAGCACAGGAAGGGGGUUAGUAAAAGGCCAUAACAUAGUGCAGAAGAUAACAAGAAGCGUGAAAAAGACAUUUUACCUAUGACUUCAUCAAGGUCUUUUGGGUUCUCCCAUUUUUCUCCCUCUUUCAAAACCUUCUUAAUGAUUCCACCAUCCUUAGUUAUGUCAUUCACACUGGUCCAUGAUAGCAGUUCAACAUCAAACUGCAAUGUGGCAUUUGGAGGGAUGGUUGGGGGAGAACCAGAUGCACCAUAAGCCAUCUCAGGAGGAAUGGUGAAAAGGGCAUUCUCACCUUUCUUCAUUGUUUUAAUACCUUCAUCCCAUCCCUUAAUCACUUGUCCUGCACCACAACAUCGUAAACCCAUGUUGGUGAGAUGUAGUUCAACCUCAGUAAUAUCAGAUUAUUGACCACAACACAGAAUCAAACGGUACACACCAUGCAUUAUAUCUAUUCUGAGUAGAACAGUUCAAAAUGAACCCCAAAGAAUGCAGUGUAAAGAAAAUGCUCAAGGUAAAACAACAAACUACUCUCCCUCUCUGAAGAAAACAAAAGAUUAUGCUUUCUACUCCUGAGCACCAAGUCACAUUUAAGACAUCAUUUCAGUCUCUGACACUAUUUAACACUCAAAACCUAAAACUACUGCAUUAUACAUUUGUACCCAUUUCUAAGACAGGUGCUAAUUGAACAUCCAUAUUACAUACUACAAUUAUCGUAAGAAUAUAUGUUAAACUUUUCCAAACAAAGCAAAAGAACAAACAGAAGCUUUUUCUUAAACUUCUGCACAAAUCCUAGUGGCGCAGAUCUUCUCAACAAGAUCUAGUAACCAAAACAUUACCAAAUCAAUCAAACUUGUCUAAACAAGACAGAAAGGUAAAUAUAAAACAAAAACCAGUCGGAUUGAAGUUAUAUACCCGACAAGCCGACUACUAUUGUUUUGUAUAAAACAAAAACCAGUCGGAUGAAUACUUGCUGAAAAUGGUAUUCAUCUACAACUCAGCCAGUCGUUUGUAUGAACAAAAAGUUACAGAAACAUAUAGCUAGUCCAAGAAUUAAACAUGUUCCAUCCGGCCAAUGGUUGAUUCUAAAAUCCUAUAGACUACCGAUUAAAAAAGCACUAAUCUCAUUAACACUAAGCACAAUAUACAUCCAGCUCAGAGCUUAAUCAAGUGAUUACGGAUCCCUAACCUUGUCCGAGAGUGAACUUGAACGGCGUCCCCCUAUCGCGGCUCGAAUCGAACUGAGUCCCGUCGAGCAAAGUCCCAGUGUAAUGUACUGAAAAUUUCAAUCGCAAUCGCAAUCAAUCCUAAUCCGAAAACAAUGAAAAGAUCAAAUAAAUUCAAUAACAAAUCGAUUGAGCUAGACAGCCGCACCUUCAACCUCGUCGCCGCUCUUGGGAGUCUCCCAGCUUUCGCCGGCCUUGAGGAGCUUCUUCUUCAAGCCCUGCUUCCCGAUCUCCUUCUCCUCGCCGACCUUGAGCACCGGGCCGUCGUCGGGGAGGUCGAAGUCGUCCAUCAUCUCGCCGCCGGGCGCUGCCAUGUCGAAAUCGUCGUCCAUUUUUGGCGUGAGAUUCUAGAGAGAGAGACAGAGAGUUUUAGCGUAAUAGUGAGUGAACGGGAGUGAGGGGAAAGCAGAGGCUUUUUAUGGGAGCGAGGAGUUCUAGACCCUUCGAACGGGGUUUUAGGUUUUACCCAAAAAUAUACAUGUAUCACACAGGGGUCAUGAUGCUUCUGGACGGACCCAAUUCCGUGAUCCCCUGCUUCUUCGGUGUAUUGCUAAUCGUGUUCCUCAUUGCCGCAUUGACUACGUUGGGUUUUUAAUUAGGGGAAAAUGCCUAAAUACAUAAAAAUAUGGUUUUUAAAGCGCAUUUCAAUGAAAAUUUUUUUCAUGAGUCCAUUCCAACGAUUAUUAAGGAAAAGACUUUUCUAUCCUGCCCUCAUUCAACUCCAUCUACUCACCUCUGUCUCCGAUCUGAAACUCUCUUCUCUCUCUCUCUCUCUCUCUCUCUCUCUCUCUCUCUCUCCUAGACCGCGCAACGACGCCGCCGACGCAGCCAAUGCUGACGCAGCCAACGCCGACGCAGCCGAACACCUGCGCCGAUGCUGUGACGACGAGCAACGCUGCUCUCUCCUCUGCAACCUCCUCCACCGCUGCCGGAAAUCAACGCCGCUCGUCAACGUCCUCUUUCUUCUAGCCCCCUCAUCCGACCCCGGCAGCAGAUCCAAAACGCUGUGCAGCUCGCUAAACGUCGUCGCCAUCUCAACAGUCUCCAAGCAAGCUCUGCCUCGUCGGCCUCCGCCUCUAGCUUGUGCUCGCCGGUGCCGCCCGAUGUUCAUGCUUGUCCAAUCAGUUCUCAGUCACGAUUAGGGUUUGCAGAGCUCCCUGGCUGUUGAGAAGGUUGCCAAGCUGUUGUUGAGGAGGCGUGGAGGGUGCCUGGUUGUUGAGUACCGAACCAACCGAAAUAUCCAUUAAUUGAAAGGUCAGCGGGUAAUUGAUAUUUCCGACUUCAUUUCCAAAUUUUGAAGAUUUUGAAUCCAAAAUUGAUUGAAUUGAAAUGGAUUGGGAUUUUGAGUUUAGGUAUAUACUGUGGAACGCGGAGUAUAUGAUAUCAUUGAUGAGGAAUUUUGACAUUUCUAUGGAGAAGUCUUGAGGUUAAAAGUUUCUAGGGAGAUGAGGAGGGCAAAUGUGGAAGCUGACCAGGUUGCUCUAGUGGCGUAUGCUGAAAUUGGGGCUUGAGAUUGGUUCAGUAACUUGAUUAUAUUAUGAUAUUUCUUCUUUUCUAUUAAACUAAGCUGGAAUCAAUUGAUUAUUGGGGGUCAGUAACUUGGUCACUGGGGUCAGUAACUGAUUAUUGGGGGUUAUAAACCAAGUUAUUGGGGGUCAAUAACUGAUUAUUGGGGGUCAGUAACCAAAUUAUUAGGGUCAGUAACCCGAUUAUUGGGGGUCAGUAACUGAUUAUUGAGGGUCAGUAACCAAGUUAUUGGGGUCAGUACCCGAUUAUUGGGGAUCAGUAACUGAUUAUUAGGGGUCAGUAACCCAAUUAUUGGGGUCAGUAACUGAUUAUUGGGGGCCAGUACUCGAUUAUUGGGGGUCAAUAACCGAUUAUUGGGGGUCAGUAACUGAGUCACCGGUGACCGGAAUCCGACGACCAGAUAAAUCCGGCGGCCGGUGACCGGAGUCCGGUGGUUGGAUACCGGAGUCCGGUGAGAUUCCGGCCAAGUAUUCUCUCUUCCAUUUUCUCUCUCUAUGCAUGUUUAAGGGGUGAGGGCAAAAUAGUCUUAAAAUAAUAUGGUUUGUUAAGACUUUAGUAAAUAUUUGUGCAUUUGGGCAUAAAAAAGGUUACCUUAUAUUGGAAUGGGCUAAUGAAAAAGAUUGUCAUUGAAAUGGGAAAUGAGGGAUUUAAAUUAGUACUAAACAAGUAUUUUCCCUUUAAUUAGCUCAGAUUACGGACCAGUAAAACUACAGGUCGUUUCUUCGUCACUUUCGCUCUGAAGGCUGACGUUAGUCAAGGUCCAUAGCUUUGUAAAUGGAUUGCAUUUGUGCGAAUCGACCUAAAACCGAAUCCGUUUAGGGUUAGUUUGAUAUUACUGUAAUUUUAAUAAAAAACUGUUGUUGUUAUACUGCGAAAUAAUCAGCUGUGAAUUAAAACAAUUUUGUGUAUGAAAAAUAUUAGUUUUAAAACUGUUACCAAGAUAACAUUUAUUAAUUUUUAAUGUUUUAGUGAUAGCGGCUUUUAAAAAAAAACUGUUGCUGUUGUACUGCGAAAAUAAUCAGCUGUGAAUUAAAACAGUUUUAUGUAUGAUAAAUAUUAAUUUUAAAAAUGUUGCCAAAAUAAAAUUUAUUAAUUUCUAUUAUUUUUAGUGACAAACUGCUUUUAAAAGUAACAUUCAGUUGCUUCUAAAAGCUACUGUGCUGCUAGUGACCUAUAAUAUUUUUUUUUAAACUGAUUUUCUUUUAUUUACCAAACACUAAAAAAUUUAAAAGUUCAGAUAGAAAUUGAAUUUUUUUAAAAAACAAAACUAUACCAAACUAGGCCUAAGGGACAAUCAGACCAAUUAAUAACCUAGCAGAUCUAUGAUAAAUCUGUACCCAACAAACCAACAGGUAUCCGGUUACUAUGAGGCAUGAGCUAAGAGAACAUGUUUGAUAUUUCUCAACCUUCAGCUGUGAUAGUAAUAUCUGAAAAAUGAAGUUCUCCGGAGGCGAUGCAAAGUGACGGAAAAAGUAAACAAAUAGAAAUAGAGGAGCCAUUUGUAACACUAACUUACAAUCUUAGAUUAAAAAAUGCAGCGUAGUCUGAUAUUGACUAUAAAGCAAAAAAACAUUUUGCCUCUCCAAGUCACCGGUUGCUGAGGAAUUUCAUUAGGAACGCUAAAUAUGAAAAACCAAAACGGAAGCUCUAGCCAGGAAUUAUUCCACUACAGCUCCGCAUCUUUGUCUGAAUCUCUCCCCAAAAUCUCAACGAGUUCAGUGUCGAAGAUCAGUGUGGCACCACCUGUAAUGUUCAAACAACCACGAUCUAAGUCAUCUCAACUAUUAUUGUCAAAUGUACUCCAACCAUUUUGUUUCCUUUACACUCUUUGCCAAAAUAAGACGUUUUUUCUUUUAUAGAAACAAGAGACGAUUUCAGAAAUUGGAUGCACUCUUAUUACCUGGAAUAGUUGGUGGAGAACCCUGAUCCCCAUAGCCCAUAUGUGCAGGUAUUUUCAACUUCCGCUUCUCGCCAACGCACAUUCCCGAAAUUCCUUGGUCCCAUCCUGUGAAGGACAUUAUGUUAUGAGCCAAAAAUCAAAUGUCAAGGCUGUAUACCUAUCAUGGCAUCACAUGCUGAAAACCCCAUCAAACUGGUCCUCACUUUUGCAUGACAAUUAACACAAAAGUGAAUGCAGAAACUCCUCACCACAAAAUCAGUUCUCCAGAGACACACACACACUAAUCCUUCUCAUACAAUUUGGGCCAAAAGAUCUCAGUAGAUCUUGUAUGGCAGACUCAACAGUGUCAAAUAAUGCUUAAGACCAAGAUGCAUCGAGGUUUAGAACAACAAAAUUAGAAUUAGUGUCUAGUUGAAACAGGUAAAGAAGUCCUGACAAGCAAAAAGCCAGUAAGCCCUAAGCCAGCAGAAACCACCACUCGUGUGACACUUAUAAUCAUCCCAACCACUAAAUCUCCUUUUUCUGUUCUUUUUUUGGUCUGUAUGAUCCAAAUGGAUUGUGUAGCAUAGUCAAAUACUAUAUGUUUGGUAUAACCUAUUAUGCAAUCCAAUCAUUUUCCAUUCGUAACAGGGUACCUAAAGUAAGAAUUUUCUCAGUAUUGACCUUUUAUAACUUGACCAACUCCAAGCUCAAAAGCAAUUGGAUCACCCCUUUCAAAACUAGAAUCAAAGACGGUUCCAUCAGUGAGUUUUCCCUGCAAAUGUGAAAGGCAAAAAGAGAAAAUUUAGCUCAGCAAUCUCCACAAUAGGAGGACUGGGGGAGAGACCAGCAUGAAUGAGACUCAUAGUAAGCCAACUAGAUUAAUCCUGGUAUUUAAAAAGCUUAUGUUAAGCUAAAAAUUCCAUGUGAGGGAGGAAAAUGACCUAAAGAGCAGUUACUUUUACAUUUGAUUAUAGCAGAGUGUGAGAUCUCUUCUAAUUUCCCAGACACGUACAAAGAUGUAGAGUUACAGGUAUAGGAAAUUCAAAUUGUAGGCAGCAUAAUUGUAAAUUAGAUCCAAGAAAUCAUGAAGAAACAUUUGACUUGUUUAGGAGCUACUAAUCUUCAAUUUCUCCAAAACAGGAAAUCACUUUCACUAGAAAAAGUGAACCAUACAAAUUUACCAAGUCAGACAAAAAGUUCAGAAAAUGUCAAGUAGAAAAUAAGGUGGUGAUUAUCAAGGCUCAACCUUGACAAGAAUUGCAAUCCAAAUUUUUUUUCUUUGGUUAUGACAUGAAAGCAGGAGGAUUGCAUCUUGUGGGAAGAAAACAUCUUACAAUGAAAUAAAGUAUGGAAACAAACUUGCAGCUGUACCAAAUUCUUACCCGGUAGUGUACCCUGACUUUAUCACCUUUGCGAGCCUUAAGUUCACAAGUCUUUGGCUUAUACUGCAAAAUAUAAGUACGUUUCCAGGUUAUUAUAAAAAAAAAUUGAUCGAUAAAGAGUUACUGAGGAUGAGUAGCAUAAAAUCCACAACUUAGUGUCCAAGACUCAAUAAACAGACAGGGAACAAUAACUAACUGCAUUCAGGAGCCAGCCAAAUUAACAGAAGCUGAAUGCAGGACACACCAAGUUCCCAACAAAACCCAAAAGCAAGCUAAACAACAAAUGAAGCGAUAUAGAUCCAGGACAAGAAAAAUCUCAAAACAGAAACAUCAUAGCUGCAACAACCCAGUACGUUGCUUCAAGCAAUCCAAAGGUAAUAAUCACAACUAGAUUCAUUUGAUAUAGGAAAUGAUUCACCUAGAUCCGAUGAGCCUAAAGAUGUGAAAAUUCUUCCCAUUUUGUUUUACAUUCACCACAAGAGAACUAAUAGUUACUUUCUAACUACUAGGUAGCCUCUUUUCCAUAGGGAACAAAUUUUCUAAGAACUCUAUAGCAUCAUUUUGUACAGAAAGUUAUGUUCGAAAAGGCCUAGCAAGAAAUUAAUGAAUGUAAAAAGAACCAGCGACUGAUCUAGAAUUAGUAAUCAAUUACAGAGAACCGAAAGGUCUCAAUCUAAUCGAUCUCAACAACUACUCAUUGUAAGUCUUAGAAAAGUUACCAAAUCCAGCAAUAUCGUAACUAUAAUACCAAAUCUCAACCAAACAGUGGCUCCAGUGACAUCGUAACUGAACCAGCAGCUACUUCUUCAAUACAAUUCGCAUUACAACUUGGAUUCAAAAGAGAGAGAAAUCAACAGAGAAAGACAAUUUACCUUGACACCAAUCUGCAAGGUUUUGACAUCGGCGACCUUCCCCGCAAAAGCUAGAUUACAACACAAUACACAACGAAACAAACAAGAAAGCAUCAGUUGAAAAGAAUUGAAAUCACUGAAUACGCAAACAGGCUGUAAGUGACGAGAUCUACCCAAGAACGAAAGAAGAGGCAGAAUCAAGAUAAUGGUAGCAGCCUUCAUCCUCAUUUUGAGUCUCAAGUGUUCGUCGAGAGCUUUUCUUCUUCUAAUAGCCCCAGCGAUUCUAUAUAUGUGUCCAUAUUGAUCAUCAACACGUCGAUAUAACUCAUUAGUCUUACGUGGCAAUCGCCCAUUUGUUCUGGGUUUGGAACUCGUUGAUGAUUGUAGUUUUUUUUUUUGGGGACAAAUUGAUUAUUUUUUUUUUUGAAACAUGAAAACUAUUGGUGAUUAUAAUGGUUUCCGAUGUAAAUUUGCGAGCAGUAGCAAACCAAAUGUGCUACUCUUAGUACAUAGGCCACUUCAAAAUCUGGGAACCUAGCAAAAAAGGAUUCAAGUUCCUCUAGUAAGACUUAUACGGGAUUUAUCAUGAUCAGUAUUAAGUAAAGGGGCUGCUACUAACACACUGCAGUCUGUUUCCAUAAGCACCUUGGUGUUCCCCAAAGACUCUCAAAGCAAGAAUCUCAACAUGGAAGGGAGAGCUAGAGAUAAACUUUCCUUGCGCAUCUCAGACUACCACACAAUGUUAAUGUUGUGUUAGCAGUAAUAACUUUGAUAAAACUGGUUAAUGCGAAUGAAAUUAACCUUUUUGAAAACGAGUUUCAUAAAUAAUUUUUAAAAAUAAAAAUGAGAAAAUAAGAUUGUUAUUUUCUACUUUGGAAGCAAACACAUUUUCAUGUCAUUUUAAAAAAAAAAAAUACAUGCAUGAAAACGUCACCGAACGCCUCCUAAGUAUUUGGAUUGAGAUUUGUCGGAUAAUUAUGGGUUUUAUAGCUGCCUACCGCUUGUGAUUGAUUCAACUUAAAAUGUUAUAGCUGUUAUAAUAUUCAGACCAAAAUAAAUAAAAUAGUAAUGAAAAUAAUAUGAAGGGGGCGGAUCCGUGGCAUACAAAAUUAUAACCAAAAUUAUAACCAGAAUAUGGUCCAUUAGAUUUAAUAGCAAUUAACAGCUGAAAUACAACACUAAAACUAAAUCAUUUUCUUUUAUUCUCAUUUUCUUUUGAGAAAUUUUAAAUACACACCCCUAAUAUCUUAAUACACACCCCUUACUUAAUACACCACCCAUCAAGUUUUUCAUUU
rnacentral:lncRNA from 1 species